AACGAACGCUGGCGGCGUGCCUAACACAUGCAAGUCGAGCGCGAAAGGAGCAAUCCGAGUAGAGCGGCGCACGGGUGCGUAACACGUGGACAAUCUGCCUCAGGGUUGAGGAUAACCUUCCGAAAGGUUGGCUAAUACUCGGUAAGCUUACGGUGACUUCGGUCGCUGUGAGAAAACUAGACCUCUAUUUAUAAGUUUAGGCCCAGAGAUGAGUCCGCGGCCCAUCAGCUAGUUGGCGGGGUAACGGCCCACCAAGGCUACGACGGGUAGCUGGUCUGAGAGGACGAUCAGCCACACUGGAACUGAGACACGGUCCAGACUCCUACGGGAGGCAGCAGUGGGGAAUUUUCCACAAUGGGCGAAAGCCUGAUGGAGCAACGCCGCGUGUGUGAUGAAGGUCUUCGGAUCGUAAAGCACUUUCGACUGGGACGAAAAACCUUUGGCUAACAUCCAGGGGCCUGACGGUACCAGGAGAAGAAGCACCGGCUAACUCUGAGCCAGCCGCCGCGGUAAAAC
rnacentral:rRNA from 1 species